AUUGAACGCUGGCGGCAUGCCUUACACAUGCAAGUCGAACGGCAGCACGGGAGCAAUCCUGGUGGCGAGUGGCGAACGGGUGAGUAAUAUAUCGGAACGUGCCCAGUCGUGGGGAUAACGUAGCGAAAGCUACGCUAAUACCGCAUACGAUCUAUGGAUGAAAGCGGGGGAUCGCAAGACCUCGCGCGAUUGGAGCGGCCGAUAUCAGAUUAGGUAGUUGGUGAGGUAAAGGCUCACCAAGCCGACGAUCUGUAGCUGGUCUGAGAGGACGACCAGCCACACUGGGACUGAGACACGGCCCAGACUCCUACGGGAGGCAGCAGUGGGGGAAUUUUUGGACAAUGGGCGCAAGCCUGAUCCAGCAAUGCCGCGUGCAGGAUGAAGGCCUCGGUUGUAACU
rnacentral:rRNA from 1 species